GCCUCGGUGGCUCAGACCGGCAGAGCAAACGCCUCGUAAGCGUUAGGCCGUGGGUUCAAAUCCCACCCGAGGCU
rnacentral:tRNA from 1 species